rnacentral:rRNA from 1 species
UGCCUACGGGGGUCAGCAGUGAGGAAUAUUGGUCAAUGGGCGAGAGCCUGAACCAGCCAAGUCGCGUGAGGGAAGACGGUCCUAUGGAUUGUAAACCUCUUUUGCCGGGGAGCAAAAAGCGGUACGUGUACCGCAUCGAGAGUACCCGGAGAAAAAGCAUCGGCUAACUCCGUGCCAGCAGCCGCGGUAAUACGGAGGAUGCGAGCGUUAUCCGGAUUUAUUGGGUUUAAAGGGUGCGUAGGCGGAUUUUUAAGUCAGCGGUAAAAUGUCCGGGCUCAACCCGGGCCGGCCGUUGAAACUGGGGG